AGAACGAACGCUGGCGGCAGGCCUAACACAUGCAAGUCGAACGCUCUUUUCGGAGAGAGUGGCGCACGGGUGAGUAACGCGUGGGAAUCUGCCCUUUGGUUCGGAAUAACCCUGGGAAACUAGGGCUAACACCGGAUAAGCCCCGCGAGGGGGAAAGUUUACGCCGAAGGAGGAGCCCGCGUCCGAUUAGCUAGUUGGUGAGGUAAGAGCUCACCAAGGCUUCGAUCGGUAGCUGGUCUGAGAGGACGAUCAGCCACACUGGGACUGAGAACACGGCCCAGUAACCUCCUAGGGAGGCAGCAGGUGGGGAAUAUUGGACAAGUGGGCGCAAGCCUGAUCCAGCCAUGCCGCGUGAGUGAGUGAAGGCCCUUGGGUUACGUAAAGCUCGUUUUGGCGGGAC
rnacentral:rRNA from 1 species